GACGAACGCUGGCGGCGUGCUUAACACAUGCAAGUCGAACGGUGAAGCGCCUUCCUUUUUGGUGGGUGUGGAUGAGUGGCGAACGGGUGAGUAACACGUGAGUAACCUGCCCCCUUCUUCUGGAUAACCGCAUGAAAGUGUGGCUAAUACGGGAUAUUCUGGGUCUGUCGCAUGAUGGGUCUGGGAAAGAUAUUGUUUCGGUGGGGGAUGGGCUCGCGGCCUAUCAGCUUGUUGGUGGGGUGAUGGCCUACCAAGGCGGUGACGGGUAGCCGGCCUGGGAGGGUGGACGGUCACACUGGGACUGAGACACGGCCCAGACUCCUACGGGAGGCAGCAGGGGGGAAUAUUGCACAAUGGGCGCAAGCCUGAUGCAGCGACGCCGCGUGAGGGAUGGAGGCCUGCGGGUUGUGAACCUCUUUCGCCAGUGAAGCAGGCCUGCCUCGUUUGUGGGUGGGUUGACGGUAGCUGGAUAAGAAGCGCCGGCUAACUACGUG
rnacentral:rRNA from 1 species